CUUCCCUCAGUGAUUCAAGACAGCGCAGCAUGUGUUUUGUUCUUGAUUCAUUGCAGUUAAAAAGUUCUUUAAAAAUUUAUCAGACAAGCUUAUUUAAAGUAAAAACUCAAUUAGCAACUAUUUAAUGGGUAAAAAGACCAAAGUCUUGUAAACCUUUCGGCAGUUGUUAAAAGUUACUUGAUCCAAUCAUGAUCAAGGCCUUACGACCUUUCGGGGUUGUAU
rnacentral:misc_RNA from 1 species